UCUUUCAGCCCUUCACCGUUCUUUGGCAUCCCUGUAGAUGGUCAUUCAGGCUCACCAUGAGCAUUGCCACAGAUAGGCAGCUUGCUGCCCACCAACAGUGGGUCCACACAUCAUCACUGGUCUCUGUGUAACAUUUGCAACUCAAAUGCAGCAAUCUUGAGCUCGCUCUCCUGAACAGCACAAAGACCGUUGUCUGAACCCAAUGAUAAGCCUGAUGGCAUGCAGGCCCGUCUACUGCAGUUCAUAGAGAAAGAAUUCCAGGACCCACAUCAGGAUUGGGAAGAGUGGAUCCAGCAGGGCAAAUGGAGACCAUCCAGCACAAUAUUACUGCACCAUUAGGAGCUUAAGCAGAAGCAGGUUACAGAAGCCAGAAAAAAGCCAUUAUUGCCAACACCUGAAAAAGCCGCUAUUGCCAACACCUGAAGAAGCCGCUAUUGCCAACACCUGAAGAAGCCGCUAUUGCCAACACCUGAAGAAGCCGUUAUUGCCAAAAACAAGGAGUUAUUGUUGGCCCUGACCGCAUCCUGUUUUUGCAUCUGGAGAUUCCGCCUGGCCGGAGCAUGGCUUCUCCCUCAAACAGGUUUGAAUUUAGUUCCUGGAACCUACCCUGGUUCCUGGUCCUGCUGGGUCCUCACAAGGACAUAAUUCAAGAGUUACGAGGAUGGACAAGGCAUCUACACUAUAAACACAUCAGCCCCCAAAUGGAGGCGACACCCCAAACACUGUGAGAACUGAGAAACCAGUUGGCCGUUGUUCAGUUAGUCAAUACAUAUGAGUGUUUCCUACCUGCCUGGCGUGGCCCACUUCCUUCCCAUCUUAACCCAAAUGACAUCUUUCCUUGAGGCCUUUUCUGGCCGUGCCAUCUAAAAUUUCCCUCCGCCAUACACAGAUUUCCUAUGCACCCUUUUCUGGUUAGCUUUUUCCUUAGCACUCAUCAUGAUCUAGCAGAGUCUAUAUUUUACUUAUUUAUCUUAGUCAUUGUCUGUCUUCAUCACUAAAAUGCAAGCUCCAAGAAGACAGGUGUCUUUACUGCUAUUUCUACAGU